UACGUAGGGUGCGAGCGUUAAUCGGAAUUACUGGGCGUAAAGCGUGCGCAGGCGGUCUUGUAAGACAGGCGUGAAAUCCCCGGGCUCAACCUGGGAAUUGCGCUUGUGACUGCAAGGCUGGAGUGCGGCAGAGGGGGAUGGAAUUCCGCGUGUAGCAGUGAAAUGCGUAGAUAUGCGGAGGAACACCGAUGGCGAAGGCAAUCCCCUGGGCCUGCACUGACGCUCAUGCACGAAAGCGUGGGGAGCAAACAGGAUUAGAUACCCUGGUAGUCCACGCCCUAAACGAUGUCAACUGGUUGUUGGGUCUCUUCUGACUCAGUAACGAAGCUAACGCGUGAAGUUGACCGCCUGGGGAGUACGGCCGCAAGGUUGAA
rnacentral:rRNA from 1 species